GCUGCUUCAGUACCCAACGGGCUGAAAGAAGAGAGAAGACAUUAAGACUGGCUGGAAGUAUGCAAAUAUUUGCACUGGAAGAGCCUUGCCUGGUGUAGGAAGAAGGAACUGAGAAAUGCCAUAGGAUGGAUAUCCCAAAUGGUGGAAACAGAGCAGUUACAUUCAUUAAGGAAUAUAGAAAAAGACCCAAAAUUGGAGAGAUAAAGUGGUUUGGGAGACUUAAUACAAAUGCAACUGUGUUUUAAAAGACUGAAAUCUAAGCUGCUGAAUUGUACUCCGUGUGGAAAACUGUGAUAACAGAAGAGGGAUGAUCUUUUCACACCACAGAAGCAGGUUUGAAAGGCAAACCUGGCUCAGCUCAAGUCCAUGUAUCACUUGACAGACGGACUCAGUGUCACUGUUUGUCCCACAGUGGAAACACCGAUCAACAUACAGCGUGUGGACAUAGUUACUGAUUUUAUCUUUUGCUCCGAUUGAGUGUUCACCAAGCAACCCUCUCAUUCUGACUUAGUUUUUGCUAGCUACUAUUUCUUAACAUGAAUUAAUAAACUGGCAAUGUGAUUUAUA